GACGAACGCUGGCGGCGUGCUUAACACAUGCAAGUCGAACGGAAAGGCCCUGCUUUUGUGGGGUGCUCGAGUGGCGAACGGGUGAGUAACACGUGAGUAACCUGCCCUUGACUUUGGGAUAACUUCAGGAAACUGGGGCUAAUACCGGAUAGGAGCUCCUGCUGCAUGGUGGGGGUUGGAAAGUUUCGGCGGUUGGGGAUGGACUCGCGGCUUAUCAGCUUGUUGGUGGGGUAGUGGCUUACCAAGGCUUUGACGGGUAGCCGGCCUGAGAGGGUGACCGGACACAGUGGGACUGAGAUACGGCCCAGACUCCUACGGGAGGCAGCAGUGGGGAAUAUUGCACUAUGGGCGGAAGCCUGAUGCAGCAACGCCGCGUGCGGGAUGACGGCCUUCGGGUUGUAAACCGCUUUCGCCUGUGACGAAGCGUGAGUGACGGUAAUGGGUAAAGAAGCACCGGCUAACUACGUG
rnacentral:rRNA from 1 species